ensembl:lncRNA
AAAAAAAUUGAAAAUGGACGUUUAAACAGAGGAAUCGGUUUGAAAAAAGCUGCUGCCAUUAUGGAGGAAUAAACUGCCUACCUGGGGGUAGAGCCAUUAGCGGCUGUUUGAGUCGCCCCCGCGCCAAGUCAGGGCUCCCGUCUGCCCGGCAACUCCAAGAAGUCCGGAUUCCAUCCAUCCAGAGCAGUGAAACCCUGUGAAUAUGUGAUCAUAGUGGAAGACGUGACCAGCCCUCCCUUCAUGGGCCAGACGCUGCCCACAGCGUUCGCUCUUCUGAGCCUCCUCCCAGCGGAGGGCUAACCCGCAGGAACCCCACCCUCCAGGGCUAGAAGUCAGAAGACCACGGGACGUCAGAAGAGAUCUCAGAAGACCUGGGGAUCUCAGAAGACCAGGUUAGCCACCAAGUCAGGACACGGGGGAAGAAAAACGUCCACAUAAACUACAACAACCAACUAGUCUUAUAUUUGCAACUUGAGUCCAUAUGCUGUUUAUACAUAAACAGCAUAUGCAUCUUAAUUAAGCCAAGGAUUUAUUUUUUUUUACCAUACCAAUGUAACUGUUAUUUUAAUUGUCAAAUUUAGGACGAAGCCAUAUGUCAAAUGUGCUAAUGUUUCCGUAAAAAAAAAAAAUCCACCCAUUGGUAACUUCCUUAUCCGUCCGCCAAAAUCGUUUCUGGUCCGUUGAAUUAAUAAAAUAUAGCUGCUUGCAUUGUGUAGUGUGAUAAUGCAAUUCGCAUAACGUUUGGGCAAGUUUACAAGGCCCCACUUCUGUAUUAAAUGGAAAUGAGGCAACAACAUCUUUGAUUAUUCCAGUACUUGGUUUCCCAGUGCUUCAUGUAAGCGAUUGCUUCACCUUCAGCAACCCUCCCCCCUGAGAUUGCCUGUAAACGCAGGAUCAUUCCAGGGCACUGCCAGUCACGGCUACAACAGAACCACGUUUAUUACAUUUCUCGGCGACACAAUGUGGUUCGCUUCACGGUUUGCCCUCCCGUGGCGGCCCCCGCUGCGAUGUCAUGGGAACGGGGGGGGGGGUAGCCUUGUUCACCUGGUUAGUUGAAUAAAGCAUUGUGCGUUAUUGAC